UCUGACUUCUAGGGGCAAAAACGGUAUUAUAAGUUUGGAAUUUGGAAAAUACCAAGAAAUAGAAGUUGUAGAUAAUUGAAUUAGCUUUCCAACCAUAGGUCGUGGGUUCCCAGGUGACAUCGGUACAAGGAGAUAUGGACGUUUUAAGGUCGAAAGGUCAGUGGGCUAGGCCCAACUCGGGAUCAACCGAGUUGGCCCAAAAAAAUAAAAAACGAAUUAAGGCCCAAAGGAGAGGGGUGGCCGGCCAUCUUAUGGCCCAAGCCCACAAAAUUAAUAAAUUUCCCAUGUGAUAAUUAAUAUAAAGGAUCAUUAAAUUGUCUUGAAACAUUUAGAAGUUUCAAGACAAUUGAGAAAGAGAGAAACAAGAGAAAGAAGAGCAAGAAUAAGAAGGCCAUUUUCGGCCAAGCUCUAGACCAAAAAAAAAAAAAUUUUUUUUUUUUCAAAAAUCAUUUUCUACCAAUUAAAGGGUCCUUUACAACUUGGUGUAAUUAUUUUGGAAGAAAGAACACUUGUUUCUUCAAGUUGACAACUUGGUCAAGUGAAGAAGAUUGUAGAAAAAGAUUUUGGCGAACUUGAAACUUGAUUUUGGAGACGUGUAUGAAUCGGAAAAGGUCAACAGGUAGACAGAUUUGACUCUUAGAAGCUCCAUCAGCAGUACUGUGGCAGCGCUCCAGUUGUUCCGGAGCCUCAGUUUCUUGGUACUACUUUUGUGUACAUAUUCGGGCACGGUAGAACCGGUCCUUCUUGUAUAUGUAGAUGUACUUUGUUUAGAGGCUCGUAGACAGAUAUGUACAGUCAGAUGUUUUGUACUUUUGUGGUCCUCGUCGUUGUAUAAUGUGCUAGCAAAGUUUAUAAGUCCAUGUCUACAAUUAUGCCAUUAAUGUUAGCGUUAAGCAACAGAAAAAAAAAAGAUACGGUAUAGUCUAUACGGCCCACCUAGUAGUAAAAGUACGAUACGAGAUAAGGGGUGCUCGGUACAAGUAUCGGGUACCCGUCGCGGCCCCUAGUUGGG